rnacentral:rRNA from 1 species
GGUUCGAUUCUGCCCAGAUUGAACGCUGGCGGGAUGCUUUACACAUGCAAGUCGAACGGCAGCACGGACUUCGGUCUGGUGGCGAGUGGCGAACGGGUGAGUAUGUAUCGGAACGUGCCUAGUAGCGGGGAUAACUACGCGAAAGCGGGUAGCUAAUACCGCAUAAUGGUCUUCGGGAAAGUGGGGACCUUCACAGCCCCAAUUAUUAGAGCGGCCGAUAUCGGAUUAGCUAGUUGGUGGGGUAAUCGGCUCAUCAAGGCGAUGAUCCGUAGCUGGUUUGAGAGGACGACCAGUCGCACUGGGACUGAGACACUGGCCUGACUCCUACGGGGGCAGCAGUGGGGAAUUUUGGACAAUGGGGGAACUCGAUCCAGCCAUCCGCGUGUGCGAUGAAGGCCUUCGUCGAAAGCACUUUGAGGAAAGAAACGGCACGGGAUAAUACCCCCGUGCAACUGACGGUACCUGCAGAAUAAGCACCGGCUAAUCCACGUGCCAGCAGCCGCGGUAAUACGUAGGGUGCAAGCGUUAAUCGGAAUUACUGGGCGUAAAGCGCAGCAGGCGGUUCGGAAAGAAAGAUGUGAAAUCCCAGAGCUUAACUUUGAACUGCAUUUAACUACCGAGCUAGAGUGUCAGAGGGAGUGGAAUUCCGCGUGUAGGCAGUGAAAUGCGUAGAUAUGCGGAGGAACACCGAUGGCGAAGGCAGCCUCCUGGGAUAACACUGACGCUCAUGCACGAAAGCGUGGGGAGCAAACAGGAUUAUACAAUUUCUGGUAGUCCACGCCCUAAAAACGAUGUCAACUAUUGUUGGGGCCUCGGCCUUGUAGCGCAGCCAACGCGGUUGACCGCCUGGGGAGUACGGUCGCAAGAUUAAACUCAAAGGAAUUGACGGGGACCCGCACAAGCGUGGAUGGAUGGAUUAAUUGAUGCAACGCGAAAAACCUUACCUACCCUUGACAUGUCUGGAAUCCCGAAGAGAUUUGGGAGUACUGCAAGAGAACCGGAACACAGGUGCUGCAUGGUUGUCGUCAGUCAGGUCGAGAUGUUGGGUUAAGUCCCGCAACGAGCGCAACCCUUGGGCUGGCCAGUUGCUACGAAAGGGCACUCUAAUGAGACUGCCGGUGACAAACCGGAGGAAGGUGGGGAUGACGUCAAGUCCUUCAUGGCCCUUGCGGGUAGGGCUUCACACGUCAUACAAUGGUCGGGACAGAGGGUCGCUAACCCGCGAGGGGGAGCCAAUCCCAGAAACCCGAUCGUAGUCCGACGUAGUCUGCAACUCGACUGCGUGAGGUCGGAAUCGCUAGUAAUCGCGGAUCAGCAUGUCGCGUAACGAUACCCCGGUCUUGCACACACACCGCCCGUCACACCAUGGGAGUGGGUUUUACCAGAAGUAGUUAGCCUAACCGUAAGGAGGGCGAUUACCAUUGCAGGGAUUCAUGAUCGGGUGUCAGAACAGCGUAACCC